AUGGAUUCAUUAGAAGUAACGAGUUGACAUAAGGUAAAUCUUACAUUGAGGCGCCAUUCUUUCUGUCCGCGGAGCGCCCUCAUUAACUGUCGCUAACAAGCCGUGCAAAUACACUGAUUGGACAGCUUUCGUAUAACUCUCCGGACUUAGCAGGAUGCCCACUUAAUGAGACCACACAAAAAAAGUAGAAAACUUCAUUUUUUUUUUACAUAAAGAUGGAAAGAGUGGAACUUUGCCGCAACAGAUAAACUUUGUUUAAACAGG
rnacentral:lncRNA from 1 species